rnacentral:rRNA from 1 species
AGCCUGAACGCUGGCGGCGUGGCUAAGACAUGCAAGUCGUACGGGCGUAGCAAUACGUCAGUGGCGAACGGGUGAGUAAAGUAUCGCUAACGUACCCCUCAGUCUGGGAUAGCCGGGGGAAACUCCGGGUAAUACCAGGUGACAUUCUCUGCCUGCAUGGGCGGAGACUCAAAGGGAAACCGUUGAGGGAGCGGGCGAUAUCGUAUCAGCUAGUUGGUGAGGUAACGGCUCACCAAGGCGACGACGCGUAGCCGGGCUGAGAGGUCGGCCGGCCACAUUGGGACUGAGACACUGCCCAGACUCCUACGGGGGCUGCAGUAACGAAUCUUCCGCAAUGCACGCAAGUGUGACGGAGCGACGCCGCGUGUGGGACGAAGUCCUUCGGGAUGUAAACCACUGUCAGGGUAAGAAAGUUCUGAUCUACCCAGAGGAGGCACGGCUAACUCUGCGCCAGCAGCCGC